rnacentral:rRNA from 1 species
AGAACGAACGCUGGCGGCAUGCCUAAUACAUGCAAGUCGAACGAACUCUUCGGAGUUAGUGGCGCACGGGUGCGUAACGCGUGGGAAUCUGCCCUUGGGUUCGGAAUAACAGUUGGAAACGACUGCUAAUACCGGAUGAUGACGAAAGUCCAAAGAUUUAUCGCCCAGGGAUGAGCCCGCGUAGGAUUAGCUAGUUGGUGAGGUAAAGGCUCACCAAGGCGACGAUCCUUAGCUGGUCUGAGAGGAUGAUCAGCCACACUGGGACUGAGACCACGGCCCAGACUCCGUACGGGAGGCAGCGA